rnacentral:rRNA from 1 species
GGGGAAUAUUGCACAAUGGGGGAAACCCUGAUGCAGCGACGCCGCGUGAGUGAAGAAGGUCUUCGGAUCGUAAAACUCUGUCCUUGGUGAAGAAAAAUGACGGUAGCCAAGGAGGAAGCCCCGGCUAACUACGUGCCAGCAGCCGCGGUAAUACGUAGGGGGCGAGCGUUGUCCGGAUUUACUGGGCGUAAAGGGUGAGUAGGCGGUUAUAUAAGUCAGAUGUAAAAGGCUAUGGCUUAACCAUAGUUAGCAUUUGAAACUGUAUGACUUGAGUGCAGGAGAGGUAAGCGGAAUUCCUAGUGUAGCGGUGAAAUGCGUAGAUAUUAGGAGGAACACCAGUGGCGAAGGCGGCUUACUGGACUGUAACUGACGCUGAGUCACGAAAGCGUGGGUAGCAAAC